AUGGCCAAACUGCACUGCUACCAGAACAACACAGAUCAUGGCUGGAUGUACUGGUACCGACAGCCAGUAGCACAGUGGGGCCUGGACCUCAUAGGAGUGCUAAUUAAAGGAACCCCAGAACCCACUUUUGAGGAGCAUUUCAGGGACAACAGAUUCAGUAUGUGCAAUGUGAAGCUGUGCUCCACGGACAUCCAGUAUUUUGGAGCCGGAACUCGACUGACAGUUCUGGAGGAUGUGUCCAAAAUCAGUGCCCCCAAAGUGGCCAUCUUUCCUCCAUCGAAGCAGGAGAUCAAAGAGAAGAGGAAGGCCACCCUGGUGUGCCUGGUCACAGGUUUCUACCCUGACCACAUCAAGCUGGUUUGGCGGGUGAACGGUGUUGAGAGGAAAGAGGGGGUGAGGACGGAUGAAUCUCUUAUGGACAAAAACGAAGAAAAAUACUCACUGACCAGCCGCCUGAGGAUCUCACGCCAGGAAUGGUCCAACCCCAAGAACGUAUUCCACUGCAAGGUUGAAUUCUACGGGAAUGGGACAGAAGAAUGUGAUAAAUUCAUCAGUGGUGUAGCUGAUUGCAGUGUCUCAGAAGAGUCGUAUCUGAGAAGUGCCAUGGCAGGCAAGAGUGUGUACGUUCUGCUCAUUUUCAAGAGUGCCUUGUAUGGGGUCUUUGUGAUGGGGCUAAUGCUAAGGAACAAGCAAGUGCAGUAGAAGAAGCUGGCCCAAGGUGGAUGACACAACUUCCUGGAGAAAGAAGGAGCUGCAGCUGCAUUCAUUUUACAAGUCCUGAUUUUUUUCAGAAACCAGCACAGCACUUAGGCUUUUGUUACAAUAAAUGUACAAAGACAGCAAUUUAGGGUUGUCUGGCUGUAUUUGCUUGUUUGAAACAGCAGCUUUUAAUAAACAUUUAUGGAA